CUGCUGUCCUGUACUUUAGAUUUGAAAAGUAUAUAUAGUUUUAAUUAUUAAUGACACAUCAGUUUGAUACACGUGACAAUGAGGCAGCAGAGAUGCUCCAUAGUUUUGCAUGGGGUUUGUGGCUGCUCGUGCAAACCCACAUGAACGAGCAAUAUCCGAGCCUUUGCUUCAGCUCAGCUCAGAGCAAAGUGUCCCAGCACACAGGACUGCCUUGCCAGGUGCUGACAGCCCUCCCGCAUGCACACAACCAGUGCCUUGCUCAGAAAGACUGGAGGAGGGGGAGUGGAAUGAGGGUCAGCAAUUUGCUCCCUGUUGGAAAUAUCCCAACAGCAAGGAUAUCGAAGCUGACCUUUAAGCAGAAGCUGACGAAAAGCUGCUACAAAUUAAUCUCUUAACAUUUUAAUUUAAUGCACGUUUUGUUCCAAGAACAGGGGUGACCCAGGAAAGGGUUAAUCCGAGCUGUGCACCUAGCACAUCCACACCAGAUUUGCAGCAGUGUGGGUAUAUACAUGCAUUUCUAUCACAUACACAGGUAUUUCUUUAUCAGAGGCAUGUGGGCUGGACAGCAGACGGGCUCUCCUCUCACCACGGUGGGGUGUGGGAUGCCACACAAAUUCCAUCAGGGCGACCUGCAGCCCAUCAGCAUUGCAGCAUCACAGGGAGCCCCAUGGGAGCAGGGACACUUUCCAGCAUCACUCAGAGCCACUUCAUUGGCUUCUUUAUUUUUAUUCUUUUUCAUGUUGUGAUGCCCUAACGUCAUUGUUGGUGGGAAAGAGCUGAAAAACAGACAGGUUCUGACCAGUCCCUCUCUGCCAUCAGUCUCACAGCAUAACCGAACUGCUUUAGUUGCACUUAAUUGUGCUGUUUGUUUGUUUCCAUGUUGUCAUCAGACAAUAAAUCCAAAGCAAUCACUGUCCAAAUUUUUACAGUUUUCCCAAAGGGAAUGUCAAUUACCUUUCCCUCCCAGCACCGCUGACCUCUGCCACAUACAAAUCCCACUUUUAUUCGGAAAAAUGCAGCCACUUGCUCCAAUUAUUCAGCCUGCACUCUGAGGUGAGCAUAAAAAAAGAGUGUUCAGUAGGUACAUCCAGCCUGUAAAGGCUCAGAGGUUGGGUGCCAUUGCUCUGCAGUACAUGGGCAUGUCCAACCCACAGCCCCACGAGCUGCAGAUAGAUGAGGAGAGUAAUGUAAUUCCAUCUUUGGAAAUGUCAGACUUUAUGGAUGAAUAAAAUACAUUCCAUUUUCUUCUGUUUAUCAAUAUCGGGUGAGAACAGACUAGAAAUUGCUUAUAAAUGGAUAGCAUAAGGAGAGAGGCCAUCUAUUUGUUAUCUAUAGCAGAAGCUGAGCACUGAUCCUACUGUGGCAGCCACAGGUCAUAGAAUCAAAGAAUCACAGAAUAUCCUGAGUCAGAAGGGACCCAUGAGGAUCACUGAGUCCAGCCCCAUCACCUCUGCAUAGAAUACAAUAAAUGACUAAAAUAGAAAAGCGAGGCAUGGAUAGAAGAAAGAGCAACGUCGGGUUCUCCUCCGUUCAGCCAAUAAUUCUGACUACACAGUGUUUAAUGUUUGGUGAUGCCAUGUACUGGUUUUUCCAUAAGAUGGUCUCAAAGCCGCUGUGUGCUCUGAGUUUCGAUGGGAAAUCCACGGUGCCAUGUGAGGGUGGGCUCCCCAGAGCUCCAUGGGGUGUGCAGGAGGGAUACAGUCCCCAACAGCACCAUAACGGUUAAAGGAGAGAUUUCAGGAAGGGGAACAGAACAGCAGAGAGUGAACUUUGCAGAUAAAUUAUAGCUAAAGAGGAAUGAAACAUUAUAGUUUCAAUUACUGCUGUGCCCAGCCACGCAGGUAGUAAUUCAAACAAGAAACAAUUGGCGGAUUGUCACCCUCAAAUCAGACACAUACCAUUUAAUUCCAUUUACUGAGGGUUCACUGACUGUAUUUUGAAUCAAAUACAGCCAUUAAUGUGCAAAGAUCUGAAAAAUGCAUGUGUCCCUUUUACAAAUGUGACAAUGAGACGCUAAUUCCUGUAAAGCCCUUUUUUCUUCAGGUUGGACUGCUCCUAUUGCCUUUAGUUAUGCAGAUAUUACUUAUUAAGAGUUUUAAUAUGUCAGGCUGGUUCUUUUGAAAUGCCUUGUGCCUUUUUGUUCAGAGCGUGCGGAAAGCGCAGCUAAAUCCAUUCUUACGUUCCAUCAUCCAAACUUAGCAAAUUGAUUCGAAUGCAGGAAAAAAAAAAAAGCUACUUUCAUUAAAACAAUUAAAUCCUUACUAUUAUUGCUGUAUCUGGCUAUUACAGCACAAAUAUAAAUCAUCGGUUACAGGAGCUAAAAGCUUUCAGCUGGAAUUGCUCUACCGUCUGCCCCAUGCCAUGGGCAGGGAGGAAGGAUGACGUGCACCAGGCUUCUUUAUGGGAGAUGCUGCUGCCUAAAUAAAAAAGUCAAGUCCAUAAAGUGAAUAUUAUUGUGCUACCUUGUUUCUCCCCAGCAGUGAAGCAAUGCAUGCCAAUGGGCAGAGCGAAUAGGAGGAAAUAGUUGGGUUGGUUUUCCCGCUCCUCGUGAAUUGGGGGACAUUUUGGAAGGGGCACAAAGGUUUCGGGGGCAGUUGAGUGCUUUUGUUUUCCUUUUCUAAAUAAACCACGGAUCUGCACUGCCACACACUCCCCGUGGGGUCACGAAGUGUGCUGCAGAAUAAAAACGGAGCUUUCUGUGAUAGUGCACUUGCCCUUCAGAGCCGCUUGGAUUGCAUCAAAGGGCAAAUUGUUUAAAUAUAAUUUUCCUGAUUACUGAAUAGGUCGACCGAACAGGAUAUGAAAUGCAAAGGCUUUUCUCAUCUUGCUCUUUGCAUCAUCCUAGGGCACACCUCGCUACAGGUGCUGCCUGUUGGCUCAAGGACACUUCCAGGCGGCAGAAUAUCAAAGGAGCAGGGAUGGACAGCCCAGUGCAUCCUGCACAUUUUAAAUUGCUUAAAAAGACUCUUUUGCAAAGGGAGUCUGAGGCAGGGACCGAAAUCAGUGCUCAGCAUGUGGAUUAGACAAACAGAGUGGUCAUUAGCGCUGAUUGUCAUUGUCACACAAGCACAGACUGUUAAUUCAGCCCAGGAGUCAUUAGAAACGAGCCUCAGCGGGGAGAGGGGUUGGUGUUGGUGUAGAUGCUGGAUGGUGGCUCUGCUGGCUUGGCAGAACAUGAAGGAGACCCCUGAGAUCCUACACUGCUCCGGUUGUAAAUUCCAAAUGGAAACUCCCAGGAAUUUGCCAGGAAAAGGAUAAUCACUCAUUAUUCUCAUUUGUGGAAAGCUGUUUAAACCCAGCCCUGCUUUUCUCACCCCAUUCCCAAGCUGAGCUCAUCACCUUUCUGAGAAGCCACGCUCUUCCAGGACAGUGUCUCCUCUUCCAGUGAGCUUUUGCCCUGGCUUUUCUCCUGGGUCCAUUUGGGAGGGUUCCAUCUUUGCCCCAGUGCUUUUGCCAGUGGCUGCCACCAUCCAGAGAGAUAUUCAGCCUCAAGGAGUCCCCAGCAAAGAGCACCCACUGCCUUCCAGCCUCACCCCAGCAGCAGCGUUGAGGUCCCACAGCUGCAGAGCAGCGCCCGUUGUGCUGUGCGGGUGCCCCUUUAUUGGAGUUCCUCCCACCACGUGCUUGUAAUUUAUUUGUAUUUCCAGCAGAGAUAAUUGAGUUAUCAAUUCUGUGCUCUUUUGGGCCAGAAGCAAAGAGAUCAGAGAGCUGUUUUAUACACCUAAUUAUAGAUUAUUUCCCAUAGCUAUAAAACCACAGAGGGACAGAUCCAGAGAGCAUCCUUUUCAUCUCCACUGACUUUUGCCUUUGCUCUCUCAGACUCGGAUCAGAAGGGCCUCCAGACAAAACAGUUGUCAAAAGCAAGGGCUCCUUAUCUCCUCACAGGACAAAACCUCUCGGCAUCCCAGUAGAGACCGUGCACAGUUGCUUAAAGAUCAAAUUCAACUUAUACUUAACCAAUCUGCUUAAGCCUUUAGCACCUCAUUGAGUCGUGCUGAGAUUUAUUCCGUUUCUGCACACUUUGGCUAUAAUCUGGUUCAUGACAAUGGCCUGGGGGUCUGCUGAGGAUGUAAAAAAUUGAUUUUCUUUGCCACAUGCAGGCUUUGUGGGCUUGCAUUUGGCAUGGCCCCUCAUGCCCCUGCUAGCUCCUAUGCUCAGCCUGCUCCCUCCUCCCCAGGCAGCUCUGAGCACCCUGCAGCAUCCGCAGAUCCCGCAGAGCUGCAGUGCAGAGCAGGGGUUGAGGUCCGGCAUACCCGAAUUUUCUAUGUAUGGAAAGAAAUGGGAAGUGUCCGUGCGUCGGUGUUAAGUUUCUGGUGGUGACACGCAGAGGCCAUCCGAGAUGUAUGACCUAGCAAAUGUAUUGUAACGCACACAUCACAUUCGUUCUCUGGGUAAAUAGAUAUUGUCUAGGGUACAUUACAUCUGUGCCUUCGUGUUUAAUUUAAUGUAAGUGAACUGCCUUAAUUUCUCCAAAUUGUAGUAAUAAACAUAACGUUAACGGUGAUACUGCUAAUAAUUUAUUUUGCAAGCGAUUAAUCAACAACAAACUCUUUUAAUUACCUGUUCUGAAAUGUCAAACUCUAAACUAAUUACAUGUUAUUACAUGAAUUCAUGUAUAUGUAUACACAAAUACGAAUUCCAAGGGUAAUUAAAAUGAAUAAACCAUCAGAUUUGGUAAAAUCAUGCAGCUGAGAGAAGUUUGCUCUCCACUGCAUUUCUGCCUCUUUGCAUUUCAUCCUCAGCACAAAGGGAGCUAGAUUCCAAGGCUCUGAGCGAGUCGUUUGUGCUUCUGCAAAAAAAUAUUACCCACAGAAAGUGGCAAACCCCGUGGGAUCUAUGCUGAGAACCACAAGGAAGAGAGGAAAGCAGCUGUGCUGCUCUGCUGGGGGGAGUACAGAGUGUGGGGCUCAUUUGGGUGCUCCCUGUGCAGGGGGUGAAACCAAGCAGGACAGAAGUGGGUGGUGUACAUUUGCUGUACUCAAUAAUUGGCAACGAUUUUUGGAAGGAGAUUGGGGGUGAAAUUAACAGAUUUGGGGCACGACCAAAUCUGUUCUCCAUUUUGUGUCCUUGUUGAGUCUCUCAGUGCAGGCACAACACAGUGCUCUUUGCAACACCCUGGUGACCCCUAGAUGAGACUUGGAAGACCACUUCUUUGCACUGGCACUCCAGACAUCAUGGCCAAGUGCCCCCAGCAAUGUGGGGCUGUAUGCCAGUGGGUCACGAAAGGAUGGAGACCACCAGCUUGGAGGGUCUGGGAAUGAAGCCUUUAAUUCAGGGGUGGACACUGAGGCAGUCCCAAUGGCUUGCAGCAUGGGCUGGAAGAACAGGAUGAUUAAUGAGAGCAAUGGCACGAAGGAGCCAGGAACUAAGUAAUGAGACCUUUAUUUGAUACAUAAUACAGCCGGGGCCCUCUAUAAAGAGAAUACCAAGAGUAGGGCUAAGUUUCACAGUUCUGGGAAUGUAUCAGGAAGGGGGAAAGCUUUGCUGACUUUGCAGCCAAACGCCUGGGCCAUCCGCAAGUGUUGUUCGCAGUGAGCUUGGGACAUGUUAAUUUGGUCAUAUAUCUUCAGAUGGUGGCAAGAUGCCCUGACUUUUGAUUUACUGUGCUGAGUGGGUCUGUGUGAUGUUGUGGGUUUAAAAUGAGGUGUCCAGAGCCUGAUUCAGUCACAGGAUCACUGAAUUCCAGCUGGGAGAUGAAGAAGCCGUUAUACACACACAACAAGAACUUCCAGCCAAAAAUUACUUAUGGUUUCAAUUAAAGGAGAAGAAGUUGCUGAUUGUUUAGGUAUGGAUGUCAGAAACACAGCAGUUAACAGCAGAGAUGAAUGAGAGAUAGUGAGGUGAUAACUUAGAUAAAUUGGUAUCUCAUCCAUAUUAAGGAGACAGCUCAUCCUCUGGUGCUGCUGGAUGACAUGAAGAGUGGAGUGUAUAUGGAUACUAAAAAACGUUGGUCUUAAAGUUAAAUCCCCAAGAACCAUCAGAAAUAAGUCUCAGAAGCCAAAGUGAGAUCUGAUGCACGCUGCAAAAAUAUGCAGUCUGUCAGGGAACGCUGCUCUCUCCAUAUAACUUCCACCGUUUGUGGGACAAUUAUAGAGAAAAUGAUACUGUGAUCUGUAAAGCAGUUCCUGCAGUGGUUUUAUUCACUAACUCGAUGCCACGCAUAAUCAUAGCCAGUAACAUCUCCAGAGGUGUGUGCAUAAUAGAGAGACAUCAAGUCAAUGAGUCAAAACAUCAGAAAAUAAAAUUCAGAUGAACAUCACUUGCAGAAAUUCUAUCAUCUGUCAUUUAACGCUGUCUGAAGACCUCCACGUUGAAAUAAGGCGUGGAAACCAGAAGUUACCCCAGGCAGCAGUCCUUAGGACCUGCACGGACUCAGGGCUUUCUGCAAGUUGGGUUGAGUGCCAAAGAAGUUCUCUUGCGAUCUUAAAACUCAAGCACCCAAAAAACACCAUAGAGGGGAAGGCAGGGAGCAGGGAGGAUCUGUCCUGCCGUGUCCCCACCUCAGAUCCUGCCCAGCAUCACCCAAGCAGCCGCUGCUGGGAGCGGAGUUGCUCCUGGAUCACCUUAAGGCUAUUUGCAGCUCUUGCUGAUGCCCUUUCAAUACCCAAUCCCGAAACUUUUCAUGCGAGGAAGCUUGCAGGAUGACAGAUUGCACCUUAAAACAAAGAGGUAAUAGCUCUUAGGUCCAGAUCUGUUCUUGGAACUAAAUUCACUGCAGAAGAAGUGUUUCUGCACAACUGCAUAAUGCCUCAAAGUGGCAUUUUACAAUCUUUAAAUUCCAACACCGAUGAAGAAUUCUGCUUUAAACUACUGCAGCAGCCCAGCCCCCCUUUAUUUAUGAGUAAUAGGCUUUUCAUUUAGAUUUAACUACAGAUUCGAGUGGUUUCCAUGUGCCAGGGCUCGGAGUCACACCAGUGUCUCCUGAGGUGGCCGUGCUGUUUCCACAGAGUCACUCAGGAUCCCCACCAAACCUGUCUUUGCAUACAUACGUGUGUAUUUUAUAUAGAUGUACACAUGCACUUCAUUUUUAAAAAGACAAAGUUUUUAUUCCAGGCUUCAUUUUCCUUUAAACCGUAUGAAGCCAAAGUUCGAAAGGAUGACCCCAAAAUUGCCAGUUUGAUUGUAAUUUCCCCCAAAAGAUUUUGGGUUGUAGGUACAUAGAGAACGAUGGCUUUGCUUCCCCCUUUCUGCUCAUCAUCCCAUGCAACGCUGAUGUGCCAGGAAGCGUGGAUGGGAUCAGGGAGCUUGGUGAGUUUGCCACAUCAGUAGUCACUGAGAGUGCCUGAAGUUUCAUUUUUCAAUGGAAAGCUGCAGUGAAACGAGUAUUUUGCUACUCAUCUUGUUAUUAUUCAUCAGUGCUUCCAAGCACCUCUCAGCCCUUUGUUUCUUGGGAAAGGCAUGGUGCUUAAAGGGGCUGAAAGGUGGAUUUUGUGGAAAGCCCAACCCACAUCUUUGAUCCCAGCGGUUUUGUAAAGCAUUCGUUUUGCUCGCUGGGAAAAUCUCUGCCCUCCCCACUCCCUCACCUCCCCCUCUUUCCCCUCCACCUAAGUUACCUCGUCUGGAUCCGAAGGAACGCUUGCCAUCCUUUGAAGAGGUAGUCUCGUCCGAAAAAUCAAUAGUCAACAUUGUCUUUAAAUAGUCUGACAUUUACCUUUACAGCAGUUUUCAUUUCUUUCCCAGAUUGCUCAGACGUUUGUAUUACCCACACACUACAUCCCUGAUCUCUCGGCCGGGAGCUUUGCACGGAUGCAGCCCCGGUGCUGCAGAGCGGCCACCAGCAAGGAACUGCAGCACGAUAAUUAACAGGACGGGAGCUCACUAAUAGAAGCAUCUUUAACUAAUUUAUGGAAGACAUCAGAAAAAAGAAAAAAAAAGAAAAAAGAAGAAGAAAAAAAAAACCAUACAAAGGAAAAGGACCUGCAGAGUAAAAUGCCGUGGGCAAAAUCCACAUAAUCUGAUUGCUGCGCCCAGAGAUGCAUUGGUGGACCACCAAAGGGUGGUGUGAAGGAGAACAUCCUCCUCCAACAGUUCAUGCACAGCUUCCCACUUAUGCAUUUUUCAGAACGAAUGCAGCAAAUAUACCUGAUCAGUGCUGAUACAACUGCUUCUCCUCCCCGACAUAUUUACACUAAGAGAUUGAUGAACCACAGGAAAAGAAGAAAAUAACAGAACAAACAACUUAUCUUCCCAGAAGCUCCCUAGAAACUUAUCUGUCAUCACUGCCCAGGCUGCAGCAAGAGGGGAUUUCAGCAUGGAAGGUAUUCUCAGUGUAUGCUGUUCACUCUGAGGGAACUUUUGACACCCAAGCAUUCUUUUCAGUGUGAGAAGCGAUUACUGCUUCCCAAAGGGGAGAGCUGGAGACCUGAGCCCUCAGCUCUGCACAUGCUCCUCAACCCCAACUUGUUCUCAGGAAAAAGUACCAGGUAUUUGCCUGAUCUAACGGAAUACAUGGAAAAAAAACAAACAACAACAACCAAACCACUAUUUGGAUUUCAGUAGGACUUCAGCAUAGACGCUUUGACACUUAAGGUGAGAAAAAUGAGCUACAGAGGAAAGCAUGGGUUUCCUUUUAGCUGAGGAGGGAUGCUCCUGCAGCUCCACUGCUCCUCAUGUCUUUGUCUUUAAAACACUCAGUGACAUAAAAAUUAGACGCACGUUAAACCUCAAAUCUAGCAAAUAGCUCCAUCUCUUAAAGCAUGUGAAUACUCCUGAUACUAUUAAGAACAUUUAACCGGUACCUGAGGGACUGGGGACCUGGAGUCAGGCGACCCAGUUUCCUACAUAAGAAAAGAGAGAAAUGUCUGCCUCCUCUAAUGCCAGGGGUUAUCCUGGGCCAGGUAUCUUUAAAAAGUAAAGAUGUGAGCAAUCUCAUAUCAGACUUAUGCAUCCAAAUGGCUCAUUAUACCAGCAGUAAUAGCUUGUGAUAGUCCUAUAGAUUUACAGUACUUAGGAAGAGAUGAUGCCCAACGUCCUUUCCCAACAAUCAUUAUGACAUGGGGAAAACCAGUGAUUUUCUUUAAGUCCAUUAGCAUAAUAUUUGUGCUUAUGAGGAUUAGACCAGCAGACACUUCACAGGUCUUUAGAAACAUAAGCCCAACACAUUCAAAUGGAGACUUUUUUUGGAACAAAGCUAUUAUCUCUCAAAUCACCCAAUAUUGCUGGCCAGUUUGGGGCAGCUGGGAAGCAGCAGGUGCUUCCACCCCAUUCCCUGCCUUGCCAGCCCCAGAAUUCCCAUUUCGUGAGCAGCUCAGCGCAUGGAACAAAACACAAGGAGGGAACUUCAGAUCAAAACGUUUAUUCUUCAUUGCAGCGGAUGAAACACAGGCACGAGGCUCCUGGGGGGGAGGUGUCUGAGCAAUCACACGUAAAACGUACAGCAUUUGCACUUGAAAUACACAGACCUGAAUCACAGCUGGGAUCAAUACAGGAGGACGAUAGAGAUUAUCAAUCUUGAGUGGUCUCCGUUACACAGAAUUGACUGGCAGCCACAUAAUGGCUCGGGCUCAGCCCACCAGUUUAGAGCCCGGGUGACAGAUCUGCAGACGCCAGCCAUCAGCAUCCCUCCUUGGCCCCUCUCACGUGCCCAUUUCUUCUGCUGUCCGGGUCAGCCUCCGAGGUGCGUCUGAGAGAUCAAUGCACAGCUACAGCUGGUUGAAGGGGACCAAAUCCAUUGAACAGUUGAUUUGGUUCCAUUUUACCAGCUUUAGCAAAGCAUUUGGCCUCACGCUCUGCAAAGCAAAGAGGGGAACUCCUCAGGGCCUUUUCCUUCACAGUCGCCAGGACCUCUUCUGAACUUGCUGCCUGACGUUGCACGGGUUCACAUGGCUUCGCUUUCAGGCAUUCAGGAUUUAUUUAAGCUUCUUAGCAGCUUUGGCUGAAGAGCGAGUCUGAAUUAAAGAGGCAGUUUUAAAAGCAGUGGAACAGUCUGCAGCACUCAGUGCCUGCCUGUAGCCUUUUAAACCCGGUGUUUGGCUCUGUUUUGAAGCUGCAUUGCUACCACAGUGUGACUGAGUAGUGUCCUAAUCCAGGUCAUUUAAUUGCCACCUCCAGCCUUCUUUCUUUCAGAUCUUUUGUCUGCUAUCCCCACCCGUGCCCUGCAUUCUGGUAACUCAAGUUUUCUCAUCUACCUUUAAAAUCAGUGCUUUCCAUGGCUUUCAGAUCUGUUGAAGACAAGCAAGGACUGUAUUUACCACCAUCGGGAGGGCGUUGAGUGGAAGAGAAAGCGGAGCAGCCCUGCAGCCUCCCAGCCCCAUCCUCUGCAAGGGCUCAGCCUGCAGCUCCCGGAGAGCCCCACGCUGUGAGCACCCACUGCUCCCAAUAACUCAGUAAAUCAGAUUUUUAAAUCACAGCAGCAGGAGCCAAUAAAGCCAGACCUCUCCUUCGUAACCCAGCGCCACGCGCAGAUAUUGCACAUCGCCACGUGCGUAACCUAUUUAAAGAAUUUACAUGCAUCGCGAGGCAAAGGUGACUUUUUCCCCCCUCUCCCUCACAGCCCACCGCACACACCACGACAUGACACCGAGAAAAAAGCACCUGUGCUGAAAGGCACUGCAUGCAGAGAUAUUGCAUGUGGGCCGGUAUUGCUGGUCCCCAAGAAAUCCAGGCUUUGCAUUGUAACAGUAAGUAGUGCAGAUCACUUAACUGCCCAGCCCCAGUACUGUAAGCUGCCUAUAAAUAAAUGCGGAGAGAGAGCGAAAGAGAGAGAGAACAUCUUUUUUAAAAGAGCUCUACAAUUAAUUUAAUCGAGUUAUCUCUAGGUACCUUUUCAAGAGACAAUCAAGCCAAGGAGCUAAAUGGAAACUUAGACAGUGAGGACCUAGAAGUAUUAAACUCAUCCUUUGGUGAGUUAUAGGAGGGAGGGAAGUAAUUAUUUACCAGAGAACGGGAGGAGGUGGAAGUGCCAGCAGUGACCGAUGCUGCACCGAGACUGCAAGCUAAACCCUGACGGGCAUAUGGAUUUUGGGAGGCAGAGCAAUGAACUGCCCGAACAUCAGCAUGGCGUGCUCCAGGUGCCCUUGUCCUGUCCCCAUCCCAUUGGUUUUGGCAGGAAGGGCGUUAAAACAAGCAUCUUCUGCUGGAGAUGAGUGCUGCUCUGUUCCCCUCGCUUUGCUUCAGGGAGUGCCCCGCAGCACAUCCGAAAUCAAUGCCAGCACGCGCCGACAUUCCGUAACGUUUUGUUUGAAUUCUCUGCAGUGAGUUAUGAGUGAGGUUUUCCUUUUUAGAAAAUUAGGUUUUCUCUUCUGGAUGCCAUUAAUCACGACUAACGAUGGCUCUGGCGGCGAGGCUUUCCCAGAACUGAGGAAAAGCAUCCCCACACCUCUGCUGCAGGGCUGCAGCACAUGGGGCUCACAGCCCCCACACACCUGGGCCCGGCCAGCAGUGCAGCAAGAGGAACUGCAGAGGCUUUGCUGGAUGUGUUCAAAGGUGUGAGCUGUGCUGAAACCCAGUCAGACCAGGCUUUGGUGUCACUUACCCUUCCUAUUGCCCUCCCAGGUUCAAGGACCGGGCGACCCAGCGCCACCAAAUUUAGGUUUGCUGUCUGAAGGUCAUCCUCAUCCAGUUGUUUCCUCCCAGCAGUGCUUGGAAUUGGGUCUCACUGGGAAGGUCCUUUCUGGUCGCUCUGUCCCUAGGACCCUGCCCAUGGGACCGACACCGCCCCAGCCAGGAAUGGCCACAUAGUGGAAUGGCACUGGGGAGAUAUAGGAACACAUCUCUGAAGCAAAUCCAAGGCAAAAUAGCAAAAUAAAGCUGUGCAUCUCAUUCCCCUCUCUGCCAGUCACUGUGUAAUGCCUCGGUUUUGCUUUUGGUCUAAGUGUCAGCUUUGCAGUUCAUGAUUACACUUCUGAGAGCAGCCAGAUCCCUGUGUUAUCAAAGCACUGCCAUGGCAAGUGGGGCCAAAAGUGGGCAACAUAAGAGAACCUGGGGCAAUGAAGACCUUUGUGCUUUAGCCUCAACAUUCUAAUGAAGAUGUUUUAUAUAGACAGCACAGAAUAGCCAAAGAAUUUAUCAACAUUUGUCGAUAUUCCUAAUGAAGCAGAAGAUUCAACAUGCAAUAGAAUUAGCCUACAAGGAACCCUUGUGUAGGGCCCAUCCUUCUGAGUCCAGAAAUCUCCUGCUUAUUCCAGUCCAAUACCCUUUUGAGAAAUGAACAUCUCUUGAAAUCAUUAUCAUUAUAAGCUAAAAGGCCAAAUGAGACAAAGUACUGUUGCUCUUCAUCUGAAUAAACAAAUCAUUUUUAGAUCAAAUGCAUUAACAAUUUAUCAUGCUAAAAUCCAAUCAAAAGGAAAAAACAACAAUACAGAACAUUGAUUUCUUACAGCUUUAUCUUAAUGAAGUGCACAUUCCCUCUGUAAUUAGCUUUGGAAGGUUUUUUUCCCUUUCCUCAAGUUAAUGUGUUAUUUGAUUUCCAUCCAAAUGUCACUAAAUCUGAGGAAUUUUCCCCAAAAUGAAGUGGCUUUUGAUAAUACAGGAAAACGUCUGCUCUCUCAUUUGGCUAUUUUUCCCCCAAACAGCCAUACUUGUACUGCAGAUGAUUCAACUUUAUUGCAUGGUGUCUUUGCGAGGAUGUUUAAAUCAAUGCCACAGUUGCUGUAUUCUGCACAAUGUGCCAUUUGUAAGCCAGAAAAUACAACCUCGGUGCUUUUAUCCUUUUUCUUACAGACAUAAAAUAUUAAUUUAAUUUAUAUUAUUACAGGGGAAAAAGUGGACUGUGUUUUAUUAACAUUUCUAAAAUUAUAGGUAUUCAACCCAAAAAAUAUGCUUCAGCCAAGGCUGGGAAGUCUUCCGCUUGGAUUUUAUUUGACUUAAUUAAAAAGCACUCAGUUCCUAUGGGCACUAAAGGAGCUGCUGACAGUGCAGUAGCCACUCAGUCUUUCAAAACUAUUACCUGAACUUAAUAAAGUGUCUAUUUAGUUUAUACACCUCCAUGAUCCCACCUGUCUCCCACCAACAUGAUGCAAUUCUUGCUAAUGGCUGGAGAAGGCAGCGGGUUGAUGGCAGCCCACAGGCACCCCAGGCAGAACAAUUCCCAUAUCCUAUUGCCUGCCCUAUCUACCUUUAAUCACAGGGUCACAGAAUGGCUUGAUUUGGAAGAGACCUUUAAAGCCCAUCUGGUCCAACCCCCCGCAAUGAGCAGGGAAACCCACAGCUCCAUCAGUGCUCAGAGCCCCUCCAGCCUGACCUUGGGUGUCUCCAGGGAUGGGGCACCUCUCUGGGCAACCUGUGCCAGUGCUUCACCGCCCUCAGCAUAAAAACCUUCUUCCUCAUAUGCCAAUAUCCGAAGCGUUCAAAUCUCCACCAUGCUUGUAAUGAUCAAUGCUAGGAAAGCUUUUUCCCGGCUGCCUCUCUGCUCCUCCACUACAUAUCUCAUUUAAAUCUUUUCUUCUUUAAAUGAUGCUGAACAGAGGACUAUUGCUUUCAUCCUGCUUCACUGAGUAUUUGCUGAAAUGCAGUGGCUAAUUUGAUAGUCCGGUUUUAUUUGGACGUACUGUCGAGACAGAGAGCAAGAUCUAUAACAGAGAAUAUAACCCCAAAUCCUACCAAUUACCAGCUUAUUCCUUAGUUAUACAGGAGACCACAAGUGACCUUAUCAAAAUCUUGACUCUCAAUAUGAACAUCUUCGUCUUAAUCCAAAUUUCACCCUGGAGCUGAAGGUCCUGCUUCAUACACAGCCUAAGAACUGCGGAGCAUCCAUUGCAGCAGGGAGCCCACCCCUGGGACAGGGCUGCCCGCCGAGAGCUGCAGCUCCUGGAACUGGCAGCAGAAAUAGUUUGGAGUUUGGAUUUUUAAACUCACACACUCAAAGAGAACAAAGCUGUUCCCUAAUACACUUUGUGCAUUUUAUGGACCGAACAAUUAAAGAGGUUUUAAAACAUCUGCUGACUGCAUAAUUCCAUACAGGGGAGUGUACUCAGCAUUUUUAAACAACAACGGGUACGAGAUACCACUUAACAGUACAAAACACCAUCAGUCCCGUUAAAAUCAAUAGAAAAUUAGAUGCUAUGAAAAUGCAAUAUGUGUCCAAUUAGUUAUAAUUGGAGCAAAUGGUGAUGCAGAUAAACUCCUGGAGUAAGAUGCAUUUGUCCGGCCCGCUCCCUGCCUGCUUUCGGCACAGCACGGUAUCGGCAGUGGCAGGCUCUGCUGUGCCCCAUAGCAUGAAGGAUGAUCCCUCUAAUACACGUAUGUUAACUGUUAUCUAAUUAUGGAGCUGCUCUGAGCCUGCAGGACUGUUUCGGUGCCCCACCGUGCGCGGUGAAAAAUGAUCCUCUGUCACACGGAAACCUCCCUGUUGUACUUGACAAAUUAUGCCAGCAAACCUGUUUAAGAACUAAAAAAUCCUUGGACGCGGUGACAGGCCAAGAAAUAUGUUGUUUGGGGACAGAUAUUUAUUUAUUUAUCUGGCAGAGGUUAAGAGCCACCACUCGGUUCACUUCUCCCCUGCCUGUCUCCGUUCUGGCAGCUCAAAAUCCGUCUCACCGAUUGUUUCGCCGGUUUCUUUCAACUCAUAAAAACUCCAUUGCAAGGCAAAACAGGAACUAGGUUAUGCGAUGCCAGCGCUUUAUUUUUAACAUCUCCCCUGCAACACGUUGGCCUCCUCUUGGUUUAAUCUUACAACUAAAGGAAUAAGAGCGACGGUUCCGCACAUCCCCAACCGAGUAUUGCCGCCGGCCGCGCUGCCAACCCUCCGUGCCCUUGCAGGGUAUGGAAAUGUGAAACUACUCACGUUGCUCUCAGUACAACCCAUAUUAACUUUGGGGGGUAUUUUUUUCAUAUAUUUGUCUAUAAAGUAGAGAUUACUUUACACAAACAAUUAGCUCAGAGGUAAGAAGCUAUAACUACCGGCAGGGCUCUUAUUUUAUUCCUGUUUUCUGUUAAUAUUAUUAUUCUAAUCAGCAGUAAGGACUGGUGGGUGCAAAGAAAAGCUCCUGUUUGCCCGGCCCUGAAACCUCCUUGUGUUAUUGCUGCUGUUACUUACACGGGAAAGGGAACUGUCUCUUGAGGAAGGGAAAAAAAUGGAGGUGGCAGCUUUUAUUUGUUAAGCUGACUCAGCUGGACAGUGGAACAAGAAAUGUUCAGAUCCAAUCCAUAACUUUUGUGGCCGCUCUAAGGACGUAUUCUUCCUCGACACUGAUAAAAGUUUAAUAUGGAGUUGCCCAGGUUUUUAAUAAACUUGUCAACAAAAGAGCAAGGCAAAUUGAUGGGGACCUUCCCAGGAAUAAAUUCCACUUCAAAUAGGCCAAAUGAGUGUGGAGGACAGAGAGGGGAAGGUACACGGGCAGCUUCUGCUGUUCUUUGCAAAAAUGGCACAAUGGAUUUUAGUGGGUGCGUAUGUGUGUGCGUCUUAUUAUCUCUGAGACAAGGCUUUAGGACAAAGCUUAAAUUAAAGAACACAACCUGGUGUGGCUCAGAGCCCUGACACGGCAAGGAAGGGAAGGGACAAAGCUCCGGCACUGAUUUAGCGGUGAAGCCAUUCCCCACUAAGGAACUGCCAUCUCACCCUGCGAGUAGUGCCGCAUCUCCCAGUGCACCUGAAGGCUCCAGGCAUCUCCUACCCAGACUGUGGUCACUUUGGGACCAUCCCCAACACACUCUGCAACAACCUUUACUCAUACGCUGAGUAUCACCUGUGCCCACCCAUGCAUCACCUGCCCGCCAGCAGACCCUCUCUACUCUGACCUGUGAUGCCAACAGAGUUUUAUCCCACAUCCCCCACUACGCACAUCACAUUUCAGCUACUGCCUGCGCGUUUAUCUCCACUCAGUCAAACCAAUCCCAUUCACUGCUCAAUUUUUUUACUUCCAUACAUCAUGAGCUGCCUCCAGGCACCACACCGCCCCUUCCCAUGGCAUUGACUGCAGGCAUGGCAGGAGGGGCACACACUGCAUGCUCUGCAAGCUUGGGAUGGAAAUCUCUGCACGAGAUGCAUUAUUUUCUAUUAGCCUCCAUCAAGCUGGUGCCUUAAAUUAUUAAGCUUUGUUGUGGUGUUGGUUUGUUUUUUUUUUUAAUUUGUUGACCUGAAGUAAACACAAGUAUUAAAUCAGAUUCCAAUAAUCUCACUGACAGUAAAUUAACUCAUUGUGUCCUAGAGGGGGACGCAACCGCAUCUUGGCCACUCUGAGCAAUGCUUCACCAUCCCUGCAGAUUCCACAUGCAUGCAAUGGGGUAAAAAGCAGAAGGCCAGAUCCUGCCUCCAACCUUGGGCCAUGUCCCAGAUUGGAAGCUCUGCCUGGAUGCCGCGAUGAAAUUUAUUCCUGAUCAUUCUUAGGUCACCGGAUUCCUGCUCCGGUAGCUUUACCCGACCCCCCAAAUGCCAGGGUCGACGUGCCUAUGUAAGGGCUUUGCAGGGACGGCUCCUGCCCUCACAGCUGCUUGGGGACUUCUGCAGCCGGUGGUCACGAGCCCCUGGCUGCCCAGAUGCCACCUAAUCCGGCCCGGCAGAGGGGCAGCUGAGAAUGAGCACUAUUUAUACCAGCUGCUGCUGGUCCCGCUGGGCUGCCUGUGGCUUUUUUAGCUAGCAGCUCCCAUCCCAGCGCAGGCCAUAUCUGGACAUGGCACAGGCAGAGUGCUGUGCUUCGAGAAGAGAAGAAAGAAAAAAAAAAGAGGGAAAAAAGGAAAAGCUGCAUCUGUUUUAAGAUGUCAGGCACCCUGUUUCCAUCAAAGCAUCCUGAGCACCACCAAAACUGCUCCAACUGCUAAAAGCUUCACUAUAAACUUGCCUCUUAUUCCAAGUGUGUCUGUCCUCUGACAACCUUCCACCCGUGCACAUGGCUAUUGGCCUCUGUUCCUUCAUACAGACCUCUAUGCAAGAAAUGCAAGCUCAAAGCAAGGGUGAAUGCUGACACUGCUUACACAGUGUGAGCAGAAUCUCCUUUGGAGAAUUACAGGGUGUCAGAGGAGGCAGGCGGCUUGGAGCUCUGCCUGUUGAGGAGGCUGCACAAGACUUUGCAUUUUGGCCAUUACACACUCAGAAUGAGCUUGUUCUUGGGUAAUUGCACCAAGACCUUCUCCAGUCCUAUCCCUGCAAUGGCUUCAGCAUCUCUACAUGAGCAGCCCCCUCCCUCUGGGGGAAUGCAAGGCAGGGGAGCAGCAUAGCUGCCUGCAGCCCAGCAAGCAGGCGGUGCAAUGAGCUGCACUCGCCAUGACCCUGCAUCCCAACAGGGAAGCAUCUUGCUGCAUGAUGGCUUCAGGUCAAGAGCAACUUCAGCAGAAAGCGCUAAACUGAGCGCCUUCACUGGGAGGGAAUCGCUGAAAUCAGCGCCCGGCUUUCAGGGGAGGGAUGCGAGCUCCGGAGCGAGGAUAUUUCUCUUGCAAGGAACACACCACCCCCUCGCCCACAGCCACCGUGAAGUGCAAGAUGUGGUGAAACUCUUUAAAAAUAGAUAUAUUCCCAAGCAAUACAUGCCGCUCGCAUCUGGCAGGGCAAACCUAGCAUGGAAGCUCUUGCUUACAGACUAAAAAGCCUCGGAGCAGCUCAAGGCUCCUGCAACCUUGUCUCUCUCCUCGAUUCUUCAGAGCCCGCUCUUGUUCUUGGCCUAACCCAGUCCUGGGAAGCACAAGGGAAGCCCUGCCCAGCUAGGCUGGUGUCAAAGGCAGGGAAAGAUACUGCAGUGCAGUGCUGAUCUCUUCUGCAAUCGGACGUGCAGACUAGCCCGAAUGCUGAGUCAGCACAAUUUCUUUUUUGAUUGGUUGAUCCGAGUAACAUACUUUCAAUGUAUGCUAAAGGGGCAGCAAUUAAUAUGUUUUCCCCCCGUUCUCCACCUUUCCAAACCUCCUCAAAUCAAACACACAAAUCUCACCCCCAAAGUCACUCUCUGGUCCUAAAUAUUCUGAGGCUCUUUCAUUUUUAAUUUAGGGCAUUAAAAAAAAAAAAAUUUGCAAUCUAAGCGAUGCUCACUUUGAUCGACUUGUGCUGCAGCAGCUAAAAUAUCUGUCCUGCAGGUCAAUCUAAUCAUGCUUAAUAGCAGUUUAUUCUUCAACGCAACAUUUUUCACAUUGGGUCGACAGUUUUAAAUGAGAUUGCUGAUGCACCCCUUUACUAAUGCUUUCACCAGGGCCAGCACAUCCCUUGAAAUACUCGUGCAAUAAAAUGAAUGCUUUAUUGCUCUUGAUGAAUGCACUAUUAAACUUGAAUUGCAAAUAUGCCCCCCCCCCCCUUUUUUUUUUUUUUUUUACAAAAGAAGAGUGCUGGGAUUUAUUGGACCACCUGUCUUCCAGUAUUAAGUAAUAGCAACAAAAGUAAUAAUAGCUCAUCAACAUAAACACAUGAAAGGGAAAAAAAUAAUUCAGGGGAAAACACACAGCACGAAUUCAUCCCCGUGCUCCCAUGCGCGUGUGCAAAAUUCCCAUUCUAUACCUGCCCGUAGUUCCUCUUAUGUGCAGAAAAUUCAUCUCAAGAACGGAUGGGUUUUGUGAGGCAUAGAAUAGGAAAACGUAACUAAUUUGGUCCACUGGAUUUAUGGCUUUUACAGUCCUCAGAGCUCCCGUUUCUGCUGGUGGGACCGCUCAGUGCGCGCUUUGCGGGACGGAUGGGCACAGCCGAGCAUCGCGCCUCGCUUCAGCACAGAACCUGCAGCUCUGCUCUAUGGAGAGCGAAGGAGAAGAGGCUUUCUUCAAGCUAAGAAAUAGGGAGGACCUAGUGUGGAGGAACAGUCACAGUUUUAAUCCAAACAAGAAGAAAAGCGAGAAGGAGCUGGAGCUAAGAGUAAGAAUGGCGCAAACUGGUGGACGAUGCUAAUGACUAAAGGGCUGACGUGGUUUUGGGGUCUUUACAGCAUUUCUAUUUAUUUUUUGGCAUUGCCACACUGCACCAGAGAUGGGGUAGGGUCUCAGGAUGUGUUCUGCACCCACACACCUCCACCACGUGGCUCCCACACCGUGAGACAGAGCUGAGUUAUGGUUUUGAAAAUAUUUACAUAAAAAUAAAUCUGAACACUUAGUGACUUCCUAAAGUUAGCAAUUCCGUGUGAUUAACAAGCAUAUUAAUUCAGAGAGGGGGAAGGAGAUAAAAAUUGCAUUAGGGAUGCAGGUAUCUGUUGUAAAUCAGACCAUGAGCACCUUCGCUAGAGAUAUGCACAGUGAUGUGGAAGGCUCAGUAACACCCGCGCUGAGAAUGCAGAGAAAGAGAAGAAAACAAGAAAAAGAAAGAGCAAGACAAUGAGAGAAUGAAAGAAAAGAGAAAAAAAAAAAGAAAAUAAAGAAGAGAAAAAUAUAAGAGCGGAGUUGAAAGCAAGAAAGCAAGCUAGAAAUAAGGAGAAAAUGAGAAGCACACAAGUAGAAGACAAGGAAAGAAGGAAGGAGAGGAAAGCAGUGAGGAAAAGGGAAUCGAGAAGAGGUAGGGUAAAAGGUCACCUGGGAGAGGAGGGAAAUUGCUAUUGUGGCCAGAAUGGUGAGAAUCAUCCCCAUUUUUCACACAGCAAGUCAAGCUCCCAGCAGUGAUGUACAAGUGAGAGAAAUUGCAGCCCUGUUUGGCCAUGGGAACUCUGCUGCUCCGUCUCUAUUCAUUUCCCAGCACCUUUGUAUUUAAUUGUGGCCCCAAACUGGGGCAGGACACCCUCAGUGGCUGGGACCCAUCCCUGUCCAGGGGACAAUGCCUCUCCUCAAAGCACCUGGCAAAGCAGAGGUCCCUCCUCCCCCAAGCAGAGGUUGAGCACUCCAUGUGUGUCCACCACUUGUAUCAUCUUUCUAAAAAAAGAAAGAUUUAUAAAACUUACAGAAUUCUGUACAUUGGAAAUCUCCUUAAGAGCCCAGCCCUCCUUACUUAACCUGCUAUUCACAAGUGCCUGCUUUCCGUUAAACCCCAUUUGGUGUACGUGUAACAAGUGGCAGCAGUGCUUGCCAUGAAUCACAACAAACUGAGGCUCAGCAAAGGCCUUCAGAGCACUUUUGCCAAGCACAGAGAUGUGCUGAAACCAGAGGGAACUUGCUCCAGAGCAGAACACUGCUGUGCCCUCGGCUGCACGGCGGGGUGAUGGGGAUAAGUUUGCGAGUAGGUGGGAUGGAGAAAUGCAGUGCCUAACAGCCCAGAUAUGUGCAUCUCAUAAGCUUGAGGAAAAUGGGGGCUGAAAGCUUCACCCGCCCCUACCCAGACAGAAAGUUCUGAUUGUUCGCACAGAACGUUACACCCAUUUGUAUCAUUGCAUCUCACUGCCGUGGGAUGCUGGGAGAAUAACCAGGUGUUUUACGAUGAGAAAGGUUAAAAAGGAAAACCAGAACACCAGGAAAGCUUCUCAAAUUCAAGGUGCUAUUUUCCUUAUUUCCCUCUAAUAACCCUCUAAUAACACACACUGGGAGCGCUCACUGCCUCUGGCUGGGAGCUGGGCACCCACUGGCCAUGUCCAAGGGCCAACACACGCACAGUGAACAUUGCUUCCUCUCCAGCAUUAAGCACAAAAAGUUUUAACACAGGAAACAUCCCAAAAGCUGUCUGCGUAUUUACGUGAAGCCAAAAUACUGCACCUCCAAGUCACAACUCCUUCCCUUCUUCUCCCCGCCUCCAACUCCUUUCCUUUUCCCUAGGAUUAAGGACCAGCUCUUUUACCCAGCCUUAUUUUUGGGAAAAAGGGCCGAGGGGGAAGCAGCAAUCCGGAGGGACUGGUCUGUAUCCCCGCUGAAAACCAGGAGUGGACAGCCAGCUUUCCUCUGGCAUCGCCUUUCAAAGCCCAUGCCGCAGUCAGCAUAUUGAAUAUUUAAUGUCCUGAUGAGCAUUUCCACCUGCUGACACAGGCAAAGUGACAGAACAAUACACGCACUGGAACAAGAUCACCAAUUGACUCCCCAGCCAGUCUGCCAUGUCAGGCAUCUCAAAAAAAAAAGACAAAAAUCUGUCUGUCUUCCUCCCCCCCCCCCCCUUCACACGGGGUCAUACAUUGCUCCUCCGAGAAGAG
ensembl:lncRNA